rnacentral:rRNA from 1 species
AUACGAAGGGUGCAAGCGUUACUCGGAAUUACUGGGCGUAAAGCGUGCGUAGGUGGUUGUUUAAGUCUGUCGUGAAAGCCCUGGGCUCAACCUGGGAAUGGCGAUGGAAACUGGGCGACUAGAGUGUGGCAGAGGGUAGUGGAAUUCCUGGUGUAGCAGUGAAAUGCGUAGAGAUCAGGAGGAACAUCCGUGGCGAAGGCGACUGCCUGGGCCAACACUGACACUGAGGCACGAAAGCGUGGGGAGCAAACAGGAUUAGAUACCCUGGUAGUCCACGCCCUAAACGAUGCGAACUGGAUGUUGGGUGCAAUUUGGCACGCAGUAUCGAAGCUAACACGUUAAGUUCGCCGCCUGGGGAGUACGGUCGCAAGACUGAAACUCAAAUGAAUUGACGGGG